CUAGUUUCUCACCAUUGCAGACGGCUGAGAAAGAUGAUUUUAUAGAAGUUACUAAUGCUGCAGGAGGAAAUCAGGACACAAAGAAGACUGAAAAUGAUGUGACUGAUCUGAUAUAUCCUCCUGCGCUCAUUGCUGCUGCAUUUGUAGAUGUUCCAUUGGCUGUGUCGGUUCUCUGGUGAUACUCCCUGAAAAAGAAAAUAUCUGUUUACUGAUACCAAAUUAUUACGGAUUGAGGACUGACCAGUAUCAAGACCAGGGGCAAGAGGUGACGACCCAAUGACGGUUAGGACAGGAUGACCCGCUGAAGGAGAGAAGGUGGAAAACAAUUGCGGCCUACAAUACCAAUGAAUAAGAAAGACAUAAUAAUAUGGAUGUUAUUACUGACAUACUUGGGACAAGUGUUGCCCCCAAUGACAGGGCCUACCAGAGAAACGUCCCAAGAAGGACCAGGAUCACCAGAUGAACAAUUAUAAGAAAGCAUACUGCAGAGUGGGUUCCCUACAAUCAGCCUUGGGGAUCUUGGAUGGCCUUUCCAAUGA